GGUCUUUUGGGUAUAAUGAAAGAUCUGACCUGCUCUAUGAGUAAUUAAAUGGCCGCGGUAUUUUGACCGUGCGAAGGUAGCAUAAUCAUUAGUCUUUUAAUUGUGGACUGGAAUGAAUGGUUGGACGUAAUAACGACUUUUUUAAUUUUAAGUAUUGAAUUUCACUUUUUGGUGAAGAGGCCAAAAUAAAAUCAAAAGACAAGAAGACCCUAUCAAGUUUUAUUAUUAAUUAAUAGGAAAAGAGAGGGGCUUAUGUGAUAUUAAUAUUAAUUUUACUGGGGCGGUUGAGUUGAAAACUAAUUAAGAUCCAAAAUUUUUGAUUGAUUGAUUAAAUUACUGUAGGGAUAACAGCGUAAUCUUAUUUGAGAGUUCAUAUCGACGAUAAGGGUUGCGACCUCGAUGUUGGAUUAGAAUUCCUUUUUGGAGCAGAGUCUUAAGAGAGGUGGUCUGUUCGACCAUAAAAAUUCUACA
rnacentral:rRNA from 1 species